CGUGUAGGCGGCCUGAUAAGUAUGAAGUGAAAGUCCUGCUUUCAAGGUGGGAAUUGCUUUGUAGACUGUCGGGCUUGAGUGCGGAAGAGGUAAGUGGAAUUCCCAGUAUAGCGGUGAAAUGCGUAGAGAUUGGGAGGAACACCAGUGGCGAAGGCGACUUACUGGGCCGUAACUGACGCUGAGGCGCGAAAGCGUGGGGAGCGAACA
rnacentral:rRNA from 1 species